CAGAUUGUGAAAUUCCAGAGAACCGCGUGACGUCGACAGAUAUGGUGGACAAGCUGUAUUUUAGCAAAAAGACGCCAUAAUUUUUCAUGAUUUUAGGGUAUAUUCGUGAUGUACCGUACGUAUCAACAAAACGAGAUGCAGCAACAAAACAUGACCCAUGCUGCAAGACAUGAAAAGUAUAUUGAGGUUUUGUGAACAUUUUCCUGAAUAGUGUGAUAACAUAAUCCUGAUAAAAGAAGACAACAGACAAAUCUCUCUUCAAGAUAACAAGCAACUUUUGAUAUACAAAGAUUGAAUAAUACUAUGCGGCAACAGAGGUGCAAGACAGAAAAAGUACUGUUGCAGAGCAAGACAAGGAAGAGAAACCUAAUAUAAUUAAUUUUGUUUAAUAUAGGCAAUUUUAUUGUAGUUAAUUAAAUAUGUGAUGCCUAAUAGAAUGCAGAAGUGUAGCUUGAACAUCCUGCUGAAUAUUGCAUUGCCGUAAUCCUGGUGAAAGAGAACAUACAGGGGUUGUAUUAUUUUGCAGCAUCACGGCACCAAUUGCUUCAUUCUAAAAAAAAUGAGCAUAAUUGUACAGAAGAUAUGAACUGGCAAUUACAAUAUGACUAGAGAACUGGAAACCUACUAUAAUUUAUUAAUAUCUAUUAUAUAAGCCUAUAUAAUGAAUUGUUGAUGCCUCAUAAUUUACAUUAUGUAAUUUUGGUUAUGGAAAUAAAAAAUAUAAGUAGUGUGUUGUGUCGUU